rnacentral:rRNA from 1 species
AUGGAGAAGAUGGCAGGGAUGCUGGAGAAUUUGAGGUUGUUGGAGGAAGAGAGUAAAGGGAUGAAGAUCAGGAGGGUUGAGAAGGGGAAGGGGAAGCAGGUCGAGAUCCGCGCGAUCGGGAAGGUCAUGGCGGAGAGGCUGACGCACCCUGAUGCGAUCUGUAACUCAUUAGGAAUGAUAUGGAGCCCCAUACACGGGGUCGAUUGCAAGGACCUGGGUGAGAACAGAUUCAUGUUUAUCUUCAAAUAGGAGAGGGAGAAGAGGAAAGCACUGGAGGAUGGUCCUUGGAUGUUCGACAAUGCCUUGGUGGUGAUGGAGGAGUUUGACCCGAGCAAGCGGAUUGAUGACUAUGAGUUUAAGGAAAUUCUGAUCUGGAUUAGGGUGUAUGGGUUUCCCCUACGUGACAUGGAUGAGGACACCGGAGAGAUGAUCGGGAACAUGGUGGGGGAGUUUGUGGAAGUGGACACUGGGGCAGAUGGUAGAACAAUCGGAAAAUAUCUGAGAGUGAAGGUGAGACUCCAAAUUGGCAAACCUCUGAUGCGUGGGUUCAAGCUUGACACAGAACGGGAAGAAGGGGCAUAUGAGGAGGAAGACAACCGGAGGAGAGUGGACAAGGAGACCAAUCAAAGCAAGGAGGAGGAUAGGAAGGAGGAGGAACAGUGGUGCCGGUUUGAGUACGAAUAUAUACCCGAUUUCUGCUAUAUUUGUGGAAGGCUAGGCCAUGUCAAUCGAGAAUGCCUUAUCAAACUGAAGAAGGGGGAGAGGGCCCAAUUUGGCCAAUGGUUGAAGGCGUACAUGGGAACGAGGAGGAGUGUUGGACAGGAGGGAUCAUGGAGGAGCUCGUCUCGCGGCAACAGCGGUAGCCAUGUUGAAAGGAUCGAUAUAGUUCACUAG